CAACCCAAACCAUUCUGUGUUUCUGUGAUGAAUCUGAGCUGCCAGUGGUGUCCUGGCUCAGGAGAUGAGAUAGCACUGGCUGGAAUGAUGAAGCAGAGGGACAGCAGGGAAAGUUUAGGAAGGAAAAGACACUCCUUAGCUUUUGUUUGGCUUAAUCUUGAAAUGAUUCCCCAUGUAGGAGAAAACAUCAGCUGCACGGGAAAAGCUGAGUAACUGGUACAAAUCUGGUUACUUGCAAGUGACUCCAGUGAUGAAAAAGCCAUUUGUGCAGGAGCAAAAGUCCCAAAACAGCUCCCCAUGGGACUGUACCAGCGAGGGGAGCUGGGAGAAGGAAGUUGAAGGUGUUCUUCAGGAAGCUUUGCAGUGCAAACCCCAGCACUCAGUCCUGUGCUGCUCACAGAGCUUCCAGGGAUAUCCGUGUGGGCACAGAGAACAUCCUGAGCUUUUAACUCCUAAUGCUUCCAGUUUCUGCUCCCUCUCUGGUUCUGGGGCUGCAGGCUUCCCUCUGACAGAUGUAGCCAUGGGAUUGGCUCCAGGACAGCUCCCUGCCCUUAAUUCCCCUGGCUCACUGUGCUAAUUCUGCUCUGUUAAUCACCUUAGAGUCAAUUUAAGGUGCUCCACACAAAUGGACUCUCAAUGUGGGUCAGAGCUCAGUGACACCUUUGCUCUUUCUGCAUCAGCACCUGGACAGAGGUGACUUGUCCCCUGCUUCUGGUGACCUUCCCCUUUGUCAGGCCACCAGUGCCAUCUGGCAAAACCAGGAGGAAGGAGGGAAGCACCAAAUCCAACUUUGCAUCAAGCUGAGGGCAGUAAUAAAUGAUGUCUCAGGAGAGCUGAAGCAGUGUCUGAUGGUCCCAUGGUGCUUUUGGGCAAGGGAAGUUUUGCCAAAAUCUUGGUAACUCGGGCAGACAUUAGUCCUUAAUAGGAGAGGGAAACUGGGCUCCAAAUCUGAUUCAUUUCACACUGGAAUGAUGUGUAUGUGGAGAAGACCUCGUGGGCUGUGUUUGAGUAGUGCCUGAACCAACUGAGUUGGGAGAACCCAAAAAACAUUUUUCUGUUGUCAGCAGUUGGGCUUUGCUACUUUCUCCUACUGUGCUGGUUUUAAAAGCCUGGCUUUACACUUUCAAGAUACACAAAUGAAACCCUCUCUCUUACUGCAGCACUUGGGACUCAUCUCCACAUUCAGGAGAGCUUCUCUGAAACAAUUUACUAAAUAUUUCAGUAGAGGCCUUAAAAACUGUUCCUCUCUGCUUAGAAAGACAUUGCAGAAAGGAAAUUGCUUCUCAAUCUCUGUCCUCUUUUGUGUUUGAAUCAUUUGUGCAUCAUGGGGCAGAGCAGGCUCAACAUCUCUUUGCUUUUAAUUCUUCAUUUUAUUUUAUGCAGACAGAAAUGUUCCCAGGGAAUGAUUUGGGCUUCAUGGGAUCUCCAAAGAUCAUCCAGCUCCUGACUUGCCCAGAAGCUCCUGCUGCACCAUUCAAGCCCAGACAUUCUGUUACUGUGGAGUUGUUGAUUUUCUGCAGGGUGGAAGGAGUCAUGGUGCUGGAAUGCUGCUGGAACACUGUGGCUUCACCAUUCCUUGCCCUCUAGUACUGUUGGAUUCCGUUUCACUUGCAUUCCUUCACCAAAUCAGGUGUUCAAUUUUAGCACUCGGUGAGCUCCAGCAGGAUGGGGAGACAAGAAUGAGCAAGACAUGGAAUUGGAACUGUCAGCAACACUUCGAUUUCUGUUACACUUUAUUUCCCCCUCCCCAGGUGAUGGUGAGGCACAGGCUGUGCUGCUUUGCUCCAUUUGGGGUAGUGAGUGUGGCCUAAAGGUUUGUGGACUUGCAAAGGGUGAUAAUUUCAACUGUGAGUGAUUUACCUGGAGCUGCCAGACCAGGAACUGGCUCCAGCUGAGAAACCAACAGCAUCUUCGGCUCAGAACCCAAACUUCCAGGGUUUAUCAGGCAUCUGUAAGCAAUAAGGGAACAAAACACACAGAGAAAGUGCAAUAUGGCUCCUAUUGCUUAAUGAAGGCCAGGCUAAUUGAGGGCAAUUAAAUUAAUCAGGGAAGUGAACCAGCCACACCCAUUCGGAGGAGGAUGCGUGCAAUCACAGGCAAUUACUGUAAUUAAUCUUCUCAUUGUUGUCCCCACAGCCAGCACCUGGCCAAGAAGUUGAGGAGUUACCUAACUGUGCUCAGGAGGAUGCUGCAGGCGAAGGUGGUGCUUCCAGUUUUUUCCUACAGAGUUUUAAAAACCUGUUGCAAGAAGGAAUCUCACAAAUGUGGCUGUCCCAUCCCUGGAAGUGUUCAAGGCCAGCUUGGAGGGGAUAAAAAUCUGAACCAUGAAGCUGUUUCUCCCUACACUGAUGCCACACAAAAAAUUAUGUUGUAAAGAAGUUUCCUGAAACCUCUAGAACUGGGCCCCUGCAGACUAAGUAAAACGUGAUUUUUUAAAAAAGCAAUAUGGUUAAUUGAUGAAGCUAUCGAUUUGUAACAGUUAAUUUUUGUAUAAGAGCCCCCUGUGUGUGCAUUAGGGGAACCUGUUUAUUCUGGGAUGAAAUGAAAGCCCUAAAAAUGGGGUCAUUUUCUGCUUUGAGUUCUGUGACACCUCGUGGCACCUGCUUUUGGACAGGAUGAGUUUGCCUAUGGAGCAAUUCCUGUGGACUCUGGCAAGCUGCAGUGUUGUUUUUAGGGGCCAGAUGAGGAUAAUCUGGCCAUCACUUUGUCUCCUGACCUGGGACAGCCUAUGAGUUUCCUUUGUCUGCCCCUCCACCUGAUGGGACAGGUUUCAAUGGGUUCAUUUCACAGAACCAGUGCUGUUAAGGCCUCUGGGCUGACCUCAAGACAGUUUUGACGUAAAAUCCACUGCUGGUGUUGACCCAAAACCCACCAAAGCGUUGGAUGGAGCUGUGGGUGGAAAAACUGCUGCAAGGUGCUCACCAUACCCCAGGAUGAGCCAUGAAUGGGCACAAAAUAGAGUUUAAGAAAACUGUAAAAUCUUUCUAUGAAAUUUCCACAACAAUUUUGUUCUCAGCUGCCUCCUCAGACAGUCUGGAGGCCAAGUUUGAGUGGCCAGACAAAUCUUUGACAGGAAAAUCUCCUUUCCUUUGGUGUUUGUUCCCAGGAUGAGGGGAAGCAGCAGCAUUGAUCCUGAGAUUGUGAAGGCUAAUAAAAAAAUCCAUAUGUGCUAUUAAAGUCAAUGGUAUCAAAGUAAUUCCACUAAUUUGACCUGGUGAAGUGGAAAAAGGACUUUCUGCACUCCCUGGCUAGUGUUCCUCCAUAAAAAGCCCCAGGAAAAACAGGGAAAGCCAUAAUAAGCAAGUCUGAUCUCAGGUCCUUUUUUAGUUUGCUUCCACAGUGUUCUUAGCCAAGUUCAGUGUUCUUGAACUGCUAAAGAAAACCAGUUACAAGGCUAAAUCUGAAACUGGAGCUUGAAUCACCCUUUAUGUCAAAUCCUAACCAGACUUUUUACAAUUCUGAAUUUGAACAUGUUUUCAAUCUCAGAACAAAACCUGGAUGGUGAUAUUCCCACCCCAGAAAUCUCCUGACUUGCUUAGUUGGCAUCUCCAUGCCACCUGCUUGUGGGUUUGUAUGGCAGAAGGCACUCCCAAGAGGGAACAAAUUCCCUGAGCACCAGUGACUCUGGAAAAAAACACAUAAAGCACUUGAAUGGUCAACAAAUAGUUAUGAUUUUAUUGAGUGGUAGAAUACACAAGGAAAAAAAAUUUGCUCUUUUUGAGUUACUGGAUUUUUUAAUAUUUUUCUUUUUUUUUGAGAAUUAAAAAAAAACAAAACAGGAGCUGUCCUAUAAGGAAUGUGGGUUUGCUGUUUUAACAUUGGACAUGUUAGAGCUUUGUUAUGAGGGCUUUCUUGGGAAGGCAUCUACUAAGGAAAAGGAUGUCUUUGCCCUGAUGAAGAUCUCAAAUCCAGCCAGAGAGCUCAGCCCCUGCAGCAGGAAAUGAUGGUGCCUGGACAUGGGUCCUGACCAGCCUCCCAAGCCCUAUUUCAGUGAGCAGUUGGGAUCUAGACUGCUCGAAUCCAGGCCUGGCGGGAAACCUCCAAGAAAAGUCCCCUAAUUCCCACUGUGCUUCUCCCUGAAAACUGAGGGCAAUGAGUCCCUGCUCCCAGAGCUGUGGGAGGUGGGGGCUUAGUGUGAGAUCCAGUUGACUGUGAGGUGCCUGUGGAUGUCACCAGUCCCUGCCACCCCCUCUGAGCCCCAGCUCUGCCCUGUCCUGCCCUGUGUCUCCAGCACAGCCCUCCAGGCAGAUUCCAGCCAUGCUGGGAGAUCGUGGGACACCUGAUUCCAAAUUUCUCCUCCUUCAGCCCUCUGUAUUUUUUCUCCAACUCUCAUACAUCCCUCCCCAACCCCUGACUUUCCCAAACUUCUCCCAUCUCUCAUUCUCCCCACAAAACACACCCAGAGACUUCUCUUUGCUGCAGUUUGUGCUUUUCUCUGACAUCCUCAAUCAUCCUGGUCCUCCAGCUCCUACUCCAGUCCCCCGCAGUGAAUGGGGAGAAAAAAUCCAGUCCUUCCCUGGCUGUUGUUUGAUUCUCUGCCCUGAAACCACCUCUGUGUUUCCAGCUCCCCAUUUCCAUGUGGUGUAGCUGGAUUCAAUAAACCCUGGCAGGCUUCCAGCACCCCUUACUGGCUUAGGUUUUUUUUCAUGCUUGUCUCAUUACAGCACAAAUGAAUGACCUUUAUCAAGAGAGAAAGUGGACAAGAUUUCACCUCAUUAUUUUCAUAUAAACUGGUUAGUUAAGAGUCCUCAGAAAGCUGGGCAAAGCUGUGCUGAAAAUUCUGUGUUUUGGUCAUUAUGAUGGCAGAUUUUAACCUGCUCGUCUCUCACUCACUGCUGCCUUGGAGACAAAGCUCAUGGGAAGUUUAUAUCCAUCUACAUUUCCAGUCUUACUGAAACUUCUGGAAUAUCUCCAGAUAAAAGUAAUUUUACUUGGAGAACAAUGAUAACAAAGCAGAUUGAUCCAGACUUCCAGGGCUCUUUGUCAGUGAUCUCUUUGACAUGCUCCAGUUAAAGAGUGGAGAGCUUCUAGAAUCAUGGAAUGGUUUGGGUUGGAAGGGACAAUAAAGAUCAUUCAAUUCCACCCUCCUGCCAUGGAAGACCUUCCCUAGAUCAGGUUGCUCCAAACUUCAUCUAACCUGGCCUGUAACACUUGAUGUCAACAAGGAAUCAAGGCACAUAGAAAACAACUCAAAUUCCCAGAUAGCUGGAAUUUUUUGGAAGUAGAGGAAAAAGCUACAUGAGCCAGAGAGGCUUUGCCUGGAAAAAUAAUAAGUUUUUUCUGGGAAAAAAAAUGCCCAUUUGCCUGAGAGCUGAUCUUUUCCCCAAGGUCAACCCAAACGAGAGGAGAGGAGAGGAGAGGAGAACAGGGCUAAGGAGGAAAAUAUUUGCUCUGGAAAUAAGACAAAAAACCCAAGGGCUGUCAGAAAAAUAAGCUGGACAUUUAAAAACUUUCACUGUUGAUGCUACUGUACUCAUGGUCAUCCUUGCUGAAGCACAGUGAGGUACAUUCAAGGAUGGGGUGCACAGAUUAAGGUAAUACUGAUGAGGUUAGCCAAAGUCCAGGCUAGCUCCUUACUACCUGCCUGGAAAAUCACAGCAUCCAGAAGGAUGUUAUUUCUGUAGCUUUUCACCCUAAACAUUCAUUCCUUAUCUGUAAGCAAAGAUAAAAUCUCAUUUUAUUCUCCAAAGACUCAGGGAGGGAAUUCAUUAUUUUUUUUAUUUUUUUCACAAUGCUGGCCACAGUCCCAGAGUCAUCUCUGUUCAUGAUGAAGCACCUUGCUGAUUCUGUGUGAUGCUGCUAGGAUUCAGGGAUUUGAUAGAGAAGAUCCAGUUUCAGAGCUGAGGGAAGUAAUGAGGCGUG